AUGGAACAGGAGAAAUACGUGACGGAUUUUUCUUUCUUUUUUUUUUUUGAUAUAUACAAAUGGAUAGAUUUUAGGGAGCUAGCGGUCAAAUAUCGUCCUAUUUUCAGAUCUAUUUUUUGGAGUGCUCCACCAUAUAGAAAGAGAUCUAUUCAUCGUCUAAUAAACAUGUCGGAUUGACACUGCAAUUGAAAAAUGAAGAGCAGUCCAAGAAGCUAAUUUUAAAUGAAAAGAGAAUUCCAUAUAAAAUACUUUGCAACUAUCUUCUUUUGAUAUAAAUUUCUCUGCAGCUAUCAAAAUUUGCUAUAUCGCCCCA
rnacentral:lncRNA from 1 species